AACGAACGUUGGCGGCGUGGAUGAGGCAUGCAAGUCGAACGCGAAAGCCGCAAGGCGAGUAAAGUGGCGGACGGGCGAGUAACACGUAAUCAAGCUACCUGUGAGACGGGGAUAACUUCGGGAAACCGAAGCUAAGACCCGAUGGCCUUAGGAGACCGCAUGGUUUCCUAAGUAAAUGGGCGGGACCUUUCGGGGUCGCCUGCUCGCAGAGGUGAUUGCGGCCCAUCAGCUAGUUGGUAGGGUAAUGGCCUACCAAGGCAACGACGGGUAGCCGGCCUUAGAGGGUGGUCGGCCGCACUGGGACUGAGACACUGCCCAGACUCCUACGGGAGGCUGCAGUCGAGAAUCUUCCGCAAUGGGCGAAAGACCUGACGGAGCGACGCCGCGUGGAGGAUGAAGGCCUCGGUG
rnacentral:rRNA from 1 species